rnacentral:lncRNA from 1 species
GACUUCCUGACAACCCCUAGGAAGAAGUGAGCAUCCUUUCCUUAGCAGCCAAACCAUAACCUUUACAUAAUGCUAGCGUAAGAACUAUAAUACUUUCACUGCCAUUAUUGGUUACAAGACUCUCUCCUUUACAGCCUCCUCACUUGAUCCUCAUUGGAACUCAGAGACCAUGUCUGAUUAUUUUUAGUUUCCCAAGUCCCAAGCACAGUACCUGGCCCUUAGUAAGAACUCAGUACAAGUGUCUGAAAUAGAGGCAUUUUCAGGGAGUAAUCUGGUUCCAGCAGUUGCUGUACCUUCAGCUACUCUAAUUUUCACUGUAAAUGUGACUUUCUCCUCCAGUGUCCAAAUAGGAUAGAAGCCAAGCAAACCACAUGGUUCAUCCCUUUGCCCUCAGUCUCCCAGACCACUGCAAAAGUUCAUAGUCAGAGGACGUUACUCCAAUGUCCUCAAACCAACAAUCUGAAGUCCUGGUAAUGGUGGAAAAGGAUGAUAAAAAUAGGCUGCUUAAAAAUCCAGCACUUUUGCACAGAACAAGGAGAUGCAAACAGCCUCUGGCACCUUCCUGUGAGUAACAGAAGUUUCUAUUUUAAAAGAAAGGCAGUCAAAUAAGAAGCAACUUUAUCACAAUGCUGCUUUCCCAGAUUUCUUGGCCAAGGCAAUACAUCAGCCUGUAUCAGGCUCUUGGCGUUCCCUGAUGGAUCUGGCUCCAGAGAUGAUUCAGAGCUGCCAUGUGAGGAACGGAGCCUUUCACACGGACUCGCCCCUUUAAAAAAAAUAAAAGAUGCAGUCCAGUAAAGGCCCAGCUGUGUCAAUCCUGUGUGCAGCACUCAACUUCUCUCCCUGGCAAAUAACGGGUUACUGGCAUCCUGGCCCUGUGUCCAGACUCCUUGUCCUGCCUCUUCAGCUUCUGUGGGCCAUAAAUCAUGAUAAGACAGGAAGACAUGGAGAAAAUUACAUUUGGCCAAGAUACAGAAUCUCAAAUCCUUGAAUCCUGCCCUCCUACAAACUCACUCCUCAAGGAACCCAAGAAAAGAUAUGUAGAGAAGAACAGGAAAACACACACGUUUUAUUUCAUGAGCAUUUAGCUCCAACAUGUCUCCAUCUCCAGUUCCCAAUGAAUGAAACUGGACAAUGUGGAGCGCUGUGAAGGCUUAAGGCAGCCCUAAGCAGUCCUCUCUUCUUCUCCCCCUGGACCCACAGCUAUGAAGAGGUAAAGUCAGUCCACGGAAAAUCACAUCAAGGUCAAGAUAUGCCAGAUAGCUAGCAUUUGCCCUUGUUAGCUGGCCUAGUGGUCAACUCCAGGGCUUUCUUAGAGCAGGGCAAUUGCCAAACAGGUGCGGCUUCAGGCCUUCUUUCUUCAUCUAUCUUGAGGAAGGAAGAGAGGAAAGAAAAUUCCAAGAGAUGCCAGAAGACUCCAGGGAAACUCCUGCUACAUGAGACCUUUUGAUGGAAAAGAUGUUCCAGCUUCUGGCAUUGUGGCACAAUAAAUGGCCUUGACCUUAAUCCUUUAUCA